rnacentral:rRNA from 1 species
AUUGAACGCUGGCGGCAGGCCUAACACAUGCAAGUCGAGCGGAUGACGGGAGCUUGCUCCUUGAUUCAGCGGCGGACGGGUGAGUAAUGCCUAGGAAUCUGCCUGGUAGUGGGGGACAACGUUUCGAAAGGAACGCUAAUACCGCAUACGUCCUACGGGAUAAAGCAGGGGACCUUCGGGCCUUGCGCUAUCAGAUGAGCCUAGGUCGGAUUAGCUAGUAGGUGAGGUAAUGGCUCACCUAGGCGACGAUCCGUAACUGGUCUGAGAGGAUGAUCAGUCACACUGGAACUGAGACACGGUCCAGACUCCUACGGGAGGCAGCAGUGGGGAAUAUUGGACAAUGGGCGAAAGCCUGAUCCAGCCAUGCCGCGUGUGUGAAGAAGGUCUUCGGAUUGUAAAGCACUUUAAGUUGGGAGGAAGGGCAGUAAGCUAAUACCUUGCUGUUUUGACGUUACCGACAGAAUAAGCACCGGCUAACUCUGUGCCAGCCGCCGCCGUAAAAC